GUACCAUCUCAGGCAGAAAAAGGUGUUGACUGAAGACAAACACAUCAAACUUCGCAUAAAGCUGCACAUCUUAAUCUGAUGCUGAUUAGAGUAAAACUAAUAUAAAACAUGACAGCAGUCCAGCCCAUCGGCGCAGUUUGCUCCUUUCGACGGGACUGGAGCCUGACCACCCGUUGCUCAGAUUGGAAUCAACCUGCUUCAGGUCGCUGGUAUCCAGCAGCGCAUGGAGGAAGGCGUGUCUAUGACAGAGACUCAGCUGAUCACCGGCCAGCGAGAGCAACAGCGUGAAACCCGGGCGCAAAGCGCUCGGUACCGACCUUCAUCAUUAUCUCGUUAACAAGCAGUUGGAGCGGACAGCAGGCACGCUGAUGAUCGCGCCAGGACUGCAACACUAACAACUCAGUCAAAGAUAUACACGUAUGUGCUAGGCUAAGCCGCCAUCUAGUGGAAGUAAAUCUGGCCGCCGCCAUCUUGGCUUCCUCGCGCACAACUAGAUGGCCUCGAUCACUUACAGACGCUUUCUCUCUAAGACAUCAUGCACAUUUUUAGAGAAUGUUCCCCUGACAAGGGAGAUCUCAGAGCAAAGAAACUGGACCCACUUUAAACUGUUGCCUGAAUCUUCACUCAUGUUAAACGGGUUCAGUAAACAGCCAACAGAAAGAAGGCAGAGGCUAGAACAACAGGUGGAGGACCUGCACCUCCACCACUGACACAUGCAGAGGAGAAGGCUCUCAGCCUGAACACUGGAAAGCAGAGGCUGAAGGAAUUCCUGGAGGGAGUUCAGCAGAACCAGUCACUCCCCAGGAUACAAGUGCAUCUGUAAAAUAGUUUGGAAGAACAGCAGGAGGAGGGUCCGCCACAUUCUGCUGCACAGAUGCACACGGUUCAGUGAUGUUCAGUAAAUGCCAGAGUUCAAUCCUGUAAGAGUAAUGAGGAACUAUGUCAUGUAACUCUAAAUCGUCUGUAUUUUCAGUUACCAGUUAAGGAUUUGUAUAAACUAAAUCUCAAAGAAAUGUUAUACUUGGACUGCAAGAUUGAAAAGACAGAUCUAGAAAUUGAAAUUCUCAAACACAAGCUGGAGGUGAGUGUAUAGUUAAAGGUGAAUUGUAUGAAUUAUUGGAAGAGUCAUAAAAUCUAACAAUUGUCUUUGUAUUUGUAGGAAAUGUAGAAAACCAAAUAAACUAUGA